rnacentral:sRNA from 1 species
CACGUGGGUGCCUCUGACCCGGACGCGGGUCACGGGCGGGGCGGCCUCACCUCCUGGCCCCGCCUGGUCACGCCGCACUCCGCCCCCAGGGGCCGCGCCUUCCAGGGCGCCACGGUGGGCCUGGCUCCCGUCGAGGGCAUGUGCCGCGCCGAGAGCUCGGGAGGCGUGAGCACGGUGAGCCCAGCGGGCGGGGGCGAGGGGAGAGACAGGAGACUCUACGGCCGCAGUGACCGCCCCCCCCACGGCCCCCCAGGACCACUCGGAGCUCCCCAUUGGCGCCGCAGCCACCAUGGCCCAUGAGAUCGGCCACAGCCUCGGCCUCAGCCACGACCCCGACGGCUGCUGCGUGGAGGCUGCGGCCGAGUCCGGAGGCUGCGUCAUGGCUGCGGCCACCGGGUAUGCGGGUGGGGGGUCGGGGCUGCGGCGGGGCGGCUAGUCCUGGGGACUUCCUCCGCUGCGUUUCUUUGGUCGUCCCUCAGUUUCCUCUUCUGUAAAAUGGGGAUAAUGAUCAUAGUGUCCGCUUCAGGGUGGUUUAUGAGGCUUAAAGGGAAGAAGCGCAGGCAAAGUGGAUCCUCAACGGUAUGAAGAUUAUUUUCCGAGUAACCUGGCGAGGUUACUCCACCGGGAGUAGCACCGUCGGGUCGCGAUUCCACCUUGGGUCCCGGGCUGCUCACUCUUGGGGCCACAUCGUCCCCCGUCCCGCUUGCUGUGUGACUUUGUGCGGGUUACUUCCCCUCUCUGGGCUCUGCCCAUCUGGCGGCUGUAGCCAAGUCCAGGGGUGGGGAUCGGAGAAGCGCGGGGGUUGGGGGACUGUCCCUCCAUGCCCAAUGUGCUCCCCGUGCCGGUAGGCACCCGUUUCCGCGCGUGUUCAGCGCCUGCAGCCGCCGCCAGCUGCGCGCCUUCUUCCGCAAGGGGGGCGGCGCGUGCCUCUCCAAUGCCCCGGACCCCGGACUCCCGGUGCCGCCGGCGCUCUGCGGGAACGGCUUCGUGGAGGCGGGCGAGGAGUGUGACUGCGGCUCUGGCCAGGAGUGCGGCGACCUCUGCUGCUUUGCUCACAACUGCUCGCUGCGCCCGGGGGCCCAGUGCGCCCACGGGGACUGCUGCGCGCACUGCCUGCUGAAGCCGGCUGGAGCGCUGUGCCGCCAGGCCAUGGGUGACUGUGACCUCCCUGAGUUCUGCACGGGCACCUCCUCCCACUGUCCCCCAGACGUUUACCUACUGGACGGCUCACCCUGUGCCAGGGGCAGUGGCUACUGCUGGGAUGGCGCAUGUCCCACGCUGGAGCAGCAGUGCCAGCAGCUCUGGGGGCCUGGCUCCCGUCCAGCUCCCGAGGCCUGUUUCCAGGUGGUGAACUCUGCGGGAGAUGCUCACGGAAACUGCGGCCAGGACAGUGAGGGCCACUUCCUGCCCUGUGCAGGGAGGGAUGCCCUGUGUGGGAAGCUGCAGUGCCAGGGCGGAAAGCCCAGCCUGCUCGCACCGCACAUGGUGCCAGUGGACUCCACCAUUCACCUAGAUGGUCACGAAGUGACCUGUCGGGGAGCCUUGGCACUCCCCAGUGCCCAGCUGGACCUGCUUGGCUUGGGCCUGGUAGAGCCAGGCACCCAGUGUGGACCUAGAAUGGUUUGCAAUAGCAACUAUAACUGCCACUGUGCUCCAGGCUGGGCUCCACCCUUCUGUGACAAGCCAGGCUUUGGUGGCAGCAUGGACAGUGGCCCUGUGCAGGCUGAAAACCAUGACACCUUCCUGCUGGCCAUGCUCCUCAGCGUCCUGCUGCCUCUGCUCCCAGGGGCCGGCCUGGCCUGGUGUUGCUACCGACUCCCAGGAGCCCAUCUGCAGCGAUGCAGCUGGGGCUGCUGGAGGGACCCUGCAUGCAGUGGGCCCAAAGAUGGCCCACACAGGGACCACCCCCUGGGCGGCGUUCCCUCCAUGGAGUUGGGCCCCACAGCCACUGGACAGCCCUGGCCCCUGGACCCUGAGAACUCUCCUGAGCCCAGCAGCUACCCUGAGAAGCCUCUGCCCACAGUCUCGCCUGACCCCCAAGCAGAUCAAGUCCAGAUGCCAAGUUCCUGCCUCUGGUGAGAGGUAGCUCCUAAAAUGAACAGAUUUAAAGACAGGUGGCCACUGACAGCCACCCCAGGAACUUGAACUCCGGGGGCAGAGCCAGUGAAUCACCGGACCUCCAGCACCUUCAGGCAGCUUGGAAGUUUCUUCCCCGAGUGGAGCUUUGACCCACCCACUCCAGGAACCCAGAGCCACGUUAGAAGCUCCUGAGGGCUGGGGGACACUGCUGGGCACACUCUCCAGCUCAAUAAACCAUCAGUCCCAGAAGCAAAGGUCACACAGCCCCUGACCUCCCUCAGCAGUGGAGGCUGGGUAGUGCUGGCCACCCCAAAAGGGCUCUGUCCUGGGAGCCUGGUGUGUCUCCUACAUGCAAUUUCCACAGACCCAGCUUUGUGGAGGGCAUGACUGCUGGCCAGAAGCUAGAGGUCCUGGGGCCCUAUGGUUCAACUGAGUCCACACUCCCUUGGAGCCUGGCCUCUGCAAACAAACAUAAUUUUGGGGACCUUCCUUCCUGUUUCUUCCCACCCUGUCUUCUCCCCUAGGUGGUUCCUGAGCCCCCACCCCCAAUCCCAGUGCUGCACCUGAGGUUCUGGAGCUCAGAAUCUGAUAGCCUCUCCCCCAUUCUGUGUGUGGGAGGGGACAGAGGGAACCAUUUAAGAAAAGAUACCAAAGCAGAAGUCAAAAGAAAGACAUGUUGGCUACAGGCGUGGUGGCUCAUGCCUAUAAUCCCAGCACCGUGGGAAGCCGGGUUGGGAGGAUCACUAGAGGCCAGGAGGUCCACACCAGCCUGGGCAACAUAGCAAGACCCCAUAUCUACAAAAAAAAUUUAAAAUUAGCUGGGCAUGGUGGUGUGUACCUGUAGGCCUAGCUGCUCAGGAGCCUGAAGCAAGAGGAUCGCUUGAGCCUGAGUUCAACACUGCAGUGAGCUAUGGUGGCACCACUGCACUCCAGCCUGGGUGACAGAGCAAGACCCUGUCUCUAAAAUAAAUUUUAAAAAGACAUAUUACACUU